rnacentral:SRP_RNA from 2 species
GCUGGGCAUGGUGGCAUGUGCCUGUAGUCCCAACUACUUGGGAGGCUGAGGCAGGAGGAUUACUUGAGCCCAGGAGGUCAAGGCUGCAGUGAGCCAUGAUCGAGCCACUGCACUCCAGCCUGGGUGACAGAGUAAGAUCCUGUCUCAA